UACGUAGGGUGCGAGCGUUAAUCGGAAUUACUGGGCGUAAAGCGUGCGCAGGCGGUUGGGUAAGAUAGAUGUGAAAUCCCCGGGCUUAACCUGGGAACUGCAUUUGUGACUGUCCGACUGGAGUAUGUCAGAGGGGGGUGGAAUUCCAAGUGUAGCAGUGAAAUGCGUAGAUAUUUGGAAGAACACCGAUGGCGAAGGCAGCCCCCUGGGGCAAAACUGACGCUCAUGCACGAAAGCGUGGGGAGCAAACAGG
rnacentral:rRNA from 1 species